rnacentral:rRNA from 1 species
CAGUGGCGCAGUCUGAUGCAGCAUGCCGCGUGUGUGAAGAAGGCCUUCGGGUUGUAAAGCACUUUCAGCGGGGAGGAAGGCUAUAAGGUUAAUAAGCUUGUCGAUUGACGUUACCCGCAGAAGAACCAGCGGCUAACUCCGGGCCAUCCCCCGCGGAAAUACGGAAGUUGCAAUCGUUAUUCAGAAUUACUGGGCGUAAACCUCACGCAGGCGAUCUGUCAAUACGGAUGGGAACUCCCCGGGCUCCGCCUGGGAACUGCAUUCGAAACUGGCAGCUUCUUCUCUUGUAGAGGGGGGUAGAAUUCCAGGUGUACCGGUGAACCUUCCUCCCAUCUGGAGGAAUACCGGUGGCCAAAGGCCCCCCUUGGACAAACACUGAGGCUGCAGUGCGAUUGCGUGGGUUGCAAACUAUAUUAUACUGCCUGCCUCCA